CGGACGGGUGAGUGAUGUCUGGGAAACUGCCUGAUGGAGGGGGGAGUAACUACUGGAAGCGGUAGCUAAUACCGCAUAACGUCGCAAGACCAAAGAGGGGGACCUUCGGGCCUCUUGCCAUCGGAUGUGCCCAGAUGGGAUUAGCUAGUAGGUGGGGUAACGGGCUCACCUAGGCGACGAUCCCUAGCUGGUCUGAGAGGAUGACCAGCCACACUGGGACUGAGACACGGUCCAGACUCCUACGGGAGGCAGCAUG
rnacentral:rRNA from 1 species